UGAUGAGAACACUGAGACACAGAGAGGCUAGGUUAUUUACUCAAGGCCAUAUAACUGGUUAGUAGUAGAAUUAAAAUUUAAAUCCAGAAACAGGUAUCGUCACAGUCUAUUAUUGUAUCCCAGAGGUAUUUCUCUUCUUUCUAAAAUCCUGGAGUUUCCACAUUUGCCUGUGGGUGAGAAUAUCUUGAAUUCUUAUCAUAGAUUCUCUAAAUUAAACAUGUUGAGGUUUUCAUUAUUUGACAUGCUACCAUCAUUCUGACACUUUACCAUCUUGUUUGCUCUUUAGAGAACAUCCUCCACUUCAUCCAUCUUCCUCUUACAGCAGGAAACCCCAAACAGAGUAAGCUGUCCGAGGAGUUGUUUGAUGCAGCAUAAACCCCUAACAGUUCAGUUUUGUGACCAUGUCACGUAUAUUAAUUUAUGCUAUGUAUGCUAUUCUUUCUACUAAACACCUCCUGAAUCUUCUUGUCAAUGAACUGCUGGUACACUCUCCUUUACUUCUUUGAUGGAUAAUUUGGCCAUACGUUCAGCCAGUUCCUUACAUUUAUCCAUGAUCAAUUUUACUGUAUAAGAUUAACUUAAACCAUUUUCUGCAAGUGCUUUCUUCAAGUCAGCUACCACUUUGGCACCAAGAGAUUUGGCAAGGGUGUAGGUUUUAGAAUCAGAGAACCUUGAAGUCAGGGAUUGGCCUGUCACUUAUGAGUUAUUUGACCUAGGCUAAUUCCCAUGAACUUCUCUUGCCUCAGUUUUCCUUUCUGUAAAUUAGAGCUAAUGGCAUUAAUUCUAGAGGAUUGGUGAACUCGAGACAAGGACUUUUAAAGCCAGAGUCCUAUUAGCAUUAUGAUCGUAAGUAUUUCUGUUACUGACUGGGUCCUUGGACCCUUUAAUCAAUGGAAAUUGACAAGAGGCCAGAUGAGAAAUUCAGGCAAGGCUUUAUUGGGACUUGGCGCUGCAGCGCAAGGGAAGCAAGAACAAGAAACUGGUGCCCUUGCUUGCUCUCCAAGGAGGGUGGGGCUGGUUCCUUAAAUAGGGUGAGGGUAAGGGCUGAUUGGUGAGUGAGGCGGAGGGUGGCUUAGGUGGUCUGCCCAUCCCCGUGGCGGUGCUGUGUGCAGGAAUCCGGCAGCAGUGCCCUGCUUUUGCUCCUGUCCACUUUUAUCCUGGAGACUCCCUUUGGGUCAUCUUUUCAGGACCCCCGCAAUGGUCCUCUGUUUUGUGUUUCCAACUCCAGGUGGCAGAAGGGCCAUUUGAGAGAGGAGUUGGGCUGGACCAAGUGCCCUGGGAGACCACCGCACAGAGAUGAUGUCCCAAAACAGUUAAAUAAUGCUCUCCUUUUCAAAAAUGGAGCUUCCCAGAGAGAUGAGAAAUGUUGGCACCCCCCAGGCUCCCAAGUCCUGGGCCAGCUUUGCAGUAUGAGGUUUGAUAACAGUAGCAGGAGAAGAGGUGGAUUUCACAUGGCCAGGAUCUCAUCAAAAGGAAAAAAGUCUGCACAGAGAUAGAAAGACUCAGCCUUGCAUCAACCUUGAAGAUUGCCAUGCCACUCCUGAGAAUAGCUGGGAACCCAAUCACACUCCGUGUCAGAAUGGGGAAAACAUCUGGCACUCGCUCCUCACUGCCUUUCAGUGGGGCUUCAUCAUCACUAAACUGCUGCUUGCUGUUCCCAGCCCGCCCAUGCUCCUAAAUUACCAGCCUCUGGGCCUCUGUUGAUGCUUUUCCCCACCUGGGACACUUUAUACCAAUGCCACACAUUGAAUUUCAGUGUAUCCUUCCAGCCCAGCCCAAAUUUCUUUUUAUCUAUGAAGGUUUCCUUGGAUGAUCUCUUCUAAAAUUUCCCUAUCACUCUAAAUGUAUCUUUAACAUGGUACUGUGUUUGCCUUGUAUUGUUUUUUUUUUAAUAUAAAUUUAUUUAUUUUUA